AGCCUUUAGCUUAACAAGUAUUAAAGGUUCCACCUGCCCAGUGAUUUAUUAAACGGCCGCGGUAUCCUAACCGUGCAAAGGUAGCAUAAUCACUUGUCCCCUAAAUAGAGACUAGAAUGAAUGGUUUCAUGAGGGCCUAACUGUCUCUUACAUUCAACCAAUAAACCUGAUCCUUCAGUCCAAAAGCUGAAAUAAACCCAUAAGACGAGAAGACCCUGUGGAGCUUCUAAACCAAACCCAAAAAUUUCAUGCCAUUUUGGUUUUCAGUUGGGGCGACUCUGGAGUAUAAAAAACCCUCCAUCACGGAACCUAGUUCUAGAUGCACAUAUCAAAAACCGAACCUAGACCCAGUAGCCAAAUUAAAACUAUCUGACCAAUGAACCAAGUUACCCCAGGGAUAACAGCGCCAUCCUCUUCUAGAGUCCCUAUCGACAAGAGGGUUUACGACCUCGAUGUUGGAUCCGGACAUCCCUAUAGUGCAGCCGCUAUAAAAGGU
rnacentral:rRNA from 1 species